CCUGCAGGCGGUCUCGUAAGUGGGAUGUGAAAUCUCCUGGCUUAACUGGGAGGGGUCAUUCCAUACUGCGAGGCUCGAGGGCAGAAGAGGGAAGCGGAAUUCCCGGUGUAGUGGUGAAAUGCGUAGAUAUCGGGAGGAACACCAGUGGCGAAGGCGGCUUCCUGGCCUGCUCCUGACGCUAAGAGGCGAAAGCUAGGGGAGCGAACGGGAUUAGAAACCCCGGUAGUCCUAGCCAUAAACGAUGGAUACUGGGUGUCGGUGGUCCUAACCCCAUCGGUGCCGAAGCUAACGCGUUAAGUAUCCCGCCUGGGGACUACGGCCGCAAGGUUAA
rnacentral:rRNA from 1 species